UUUAAUAAAAUAAUAAAAUAUUAUUUAUAUAUAAUAAAAUAAUAAUAAAAUAAAUCCUAUUAAUAUUUGAACUCAUAUUAAAUAUUCGGAAACCAUACCCCAUUUAAAAAGAAAACAACGGUGAUUAAUCUCAAAUCCUAUACGAUUGAUUAUGAUGAGAUGGUCUUAUACGAUUGAAGGCUACCACACCUUUGUUCUCUCGCCUCAUUCUCACCUGCUCUGAUCCAAGCAUCGUCUUCAAGAAAACCCGAUCCUAAUCGUCGCAAGCCUGGUCAGUUAACAGGUAGACUCGCUCUUCGGCUACCACUCCAAUCUGGAGUACAUCGUCAACUCAACCGGAGAACAGAAUGCGGCUUCAAAUUUUGAAGUUGAGUCAGAUCGUUUAUUCUACAAUGAUGUCGUUCGAGUCUCCGAUUCAGUUGAUCGAUUGCAGAUUUUGGACAAUAGCAAUGACAAUAUUUAUAUGGAUUGAAUUUUAAGUCGUGUUGCUUAAACUGCCAGUCCCACGGCCAUGGUGUCAUGACCAUGAUCAUGACCUACAGCUACCUAGCUAUAUACUCUUCAUCUUCUUCUUCGACAUGGCUUGCUAUUCUCUGCAGUUACCUACUUCUGAUUUUGAAUAUUCUACAACAACUACACGGACAUGGAGGAGUAAGACACCUCGUCCAUUUCAAACCAUCUGCUCUUCUCUUCAAAAUGGAGGAGAAAACCAGAACCCUCUUUCUCCUGAUCGCGCCAAGUAACUGAAAAUUAAAAUACAAUCUGAGUCCUUCUUCAAUCGUUAUAAUUUAAAUGAACCAUCUAGCAUCAUGUCGAUUGAUCAAUUGUUGGGUAGUUUUUCUGCUGUAGAUGUGGAGGAGGAGUCGAAGAAGUGAUUUUGGUUGAAAGAUAUGGCAAUGGUACUGCUAAGAGGUCCUUACUUUGUUACUCAUUUUUUUUUUUCAUUUCGAUUAAUAUAUAACAAUCAUAACAACUAAUUACUAAAUUUACUAAAUUCCAACAAAGUUGGUUGUUUAAGGGGCGACAAUGAACACAUUUCCCAUAAAAUAUUUUUUUAAGAAAAAAGUUUGAGGUUUUGGUAGUUUCAAACUAAUGUUUUUUUACUGAUGAACCUUUUUUUUAUGUAAAAUUGAUGAAAUUGGUUUCAAUUGAUGAGGAGUUCAUUUGUAUCUAAGUGUUUCUUUCGAAUUUCAAAUUUCAAUUGGGGGUUCAAUUCUAUAUUAUUGCUUAUAUGAGGGGGAUGUAGAAUUGAGUUCGAAGGUAUUAAUAUUGGAAUUAAACUCAUUCACCUACAAGUCAUAUGCCAUAAUCUCACAAUAUCAUCAAUAAACAAUCAAAUAGUGUUACUUUCUAGGUACAUGUAUACUAUUGCUGAUAAUUAUUUUACAUGCCAUUCUAAUAGUGGGUAUUAUUCUGUUAAAUCCAUCUCCAUUGCUUGUGAUAUAUAAGAUAUAUAUACUACUCCUCCAUUGAUCAUAUCAAUAUUGAUUAAAUCUACUUCCAAUAGUAAGUUUUUUAAUUUCAUUGCUCAUCUCCUCUUUUAAUUAGGAAACAAAUUCGGAAAGAAAAUUAAAUUGGAAGACCAUGCCUGAAAAAUAUCUAGAUUUCAGAGGAAUAUAUAAAAGGCAAUCUUAAUAGUUUCUAAUGAAAUAAUGUUAUACACGUUUAUGAUUAAAUCUUUUCAGUAGUUUUUUUUAGUUUAUUUAAUUAAAUUUCAGUAUUUCUAUUAAGAUAAAGAAAUCUUUUCAAAUGACUUUUUUCUUUAAAAAUUUCAGUAUUUCUUUCUUAGUUUAUUUAAUUAAUUUUUUCUAUUUUCAUAUGAAUUUUCAUUUGUGGAUUUCCAUGUUUAUGAUUCAACUUUCUAUGUGUUAUGUGAUUAAAAUUUACUUUAUU